rnacentral:tRNA from 1 species
UGCGAUAUAGCUCAGUGGUAGAGCACGUGCUUAGCAUGCUUAAGGUUCUGGGUUCAAUCCCCAAUACCUCCA